GAAGUGUAACAUUCAGGUGAAAAUUGCAGUUUUAAGUUGGUAUAAUGUCGAACUUAAUAAGAACAGUUGUGUUUAAUAAUGGGGUGAAGUGUCCUAUGUUUGGACUUGGGACAUGGAGGGCAAAUGGCAAGGAAGCUUACAGCUGUGUAAAGGAAGCCAUAGCAAUGGGAUAUCGGCACAUAGACACAGCAUAUUACUACACGAAUGAGGAGGAGGUUGGAAAAGGUAUUGCCGAUGCUAUGAGUGAAUAUAAAAUACCAAGAGAAGAGAUGUUUGUGGUGACAAAAUUGCCCAAUACUUGUAAUAGGCCAAGCUUGGUGUUGCCUGCCAUGAAAGAAAGUCUCAAGAAACUGAAUUUGGACUAUGUUGAUUUAUACCUAGUACAUAGCCCUGUGUGCAUAAGCCCAAUCGGAGAGGUGGUAUCAUUGGAUUCGAAAGUUGAUGAAAAUGGGGAUCCUGUUUUUGAUGAUAUUGAUCCAAGUGUAACAUGGAAGGAAAUGGAAAAAUGUGUCGAUUUAGGUUUGGCAAAAUCAAUUGGCGUAUCCAACUUUAACAGUGAGCAAGUUCAAUCUGUACUGAAUACUUGUCGCAUAAAACCAAUCACCAACCAAGUGGAGAGCCAUAUUAUGUUGCAGCAAAAUAAACUGAGAAAUAUGUGUCAGCAGAAUAACAUAAAACUCACUGUAUUUCGCAGCUUAGGCGGUCAAGUCAAACUAUCCGAGCAUCCAGAUAUGUUUAAUAAUCCUACUGUAAUGAAGAUUGCUAAAAAGCAUGAUCGCUCCGUUUCUCAAAUUCUGUUAAGGUGGCACAUUGAGAAGGGUCACAUAUUGCUGGUAAAAUCAAGCAAUCCUGAGCAUUUAAAGUCAAACAUAAAUAUUUUUGAAUUUUCACUGACAGAAGAAGAUAUGGAUGAGUUGUCAAAAUUAGAUUCGGGUUUUCGUUUUUGCCCUUUUAAUGCAAAUAAGCCUAGCAAACAAUAUCCAUUUCAUAUAGAAUUUUAGUCCCAAACUUUUUCCUGGUUGGUUUUGGGUAAUAAGGUUAUUACUUUGAGAGUAUGAGGUGUAGCAUCUUGCAUCUAGCGUGGCACUUAAUUCCUAACUGUAUCAAAAUAUCAUCACAUUAACAUGUAACUCAAAAUUAAUUAUUUUUCUUUUUGUCAAAUGCAUAUAACCGAUGGCAUAAGACAAUAAGAGAACAUUUAGAUUAAUCAUCUUUACUUGAAAAACGCCCACCAGUGCAAUUGUUGAGUUUUGCUGCAGUGAAUGUUUUAAACAUAUUAUGCCUACUUUAAAAAACAAGAUUCUCAGAUUCCAUUAGUCGAUGUCAAUGUUAAGAUAAAUUUGAUGAGGUGAAUUCUAUACUUAAAGCGCUAAUUUUUUUCUGAUUACAUUUUUAGACUUUA